rnacentral:lncRNA from 1 species
GCCACUAUUAUUGUCCUAAACAUGAUGGUAUGCUCGGAUGAAUUUGGUUAUCUUUUGACAGUCGAAUAGAUAUUGCACCUAUUAUGCGAUAUCCGGGUUCAAUAGGUUCGAACAGUUUGAUCGAUCCCAAUUUCAAAUAUGUUAUUCUCUAUACCUUUAGGAUCGUGUAGGAAACUGUUGAUUGAGAAUCGGAGUCCCGGAUACUCCGAGUCAAUGAUUCUAAGUUUAGGCAAAACGAUCGCCGACCGAUCGUGCGAUUGGCUUAUAUCCGACCGCUCGAUUGAGAUCAAACUUUUGGGACUUCUUUAGUAAACUUUGUUGGACCUAUAGGAACUCAUGGAUUGGAAAUCGGAGGUCGUGGACCCCGUGGGCCUAAUUGACCUAGACGGCGGGCCUCAUUGGGAGUUUUAUGAUAUAUUUAUGUUUUAUUGUGCGGAUUUGAGUUGAGUUGAAUUUAAAUGUUUGGUGAUAUGUUUACGUUUAUUUUUAUAUAUGUGUUAAAUGGAUUAAUAAUUGGAUUGUGUUGCCUUCAGAAAUAUGGUUGUCUUCGGAAAUAU